rnacentral:snoRNA from 1 species
AAGUUGUUAAAAAAAAAGACUAUGUUCAUAACAUGCUACAUUAAAAAAGGAGUUCUCAGGGCUGCCAACCUUACAGUUGAGGUUGAGUGGUAGUAUAUUUCUCCUACAUAA